AAUAAUAAUCUAUAAAGAAUAAUUGUAUCAAGAUUGUGUAUCCAUUAACAAAUUAUUAUUUGCAAUAAUUUUUAAUAUCAUCUUUUUAAGAUCUAUAUCUAAAAUUUAUAAAAUAUUUCAAAGCAUGGCAGAUUUUUACUUGGCACAUGAGAAAUUUUUUCAUGUAUACAUAUUUUACAGACUUAGAUUGAUUAAAUCUUUCGUUUAUUGAAAUUGUCCUAUGUUAAUAUAUUUUUAUUUAAUAUAGAUAGUACGUAUAAACUAUGGAUCUUUGAAAAGGAUUAUCUUUGUUUUUCUAUAAUAUAGGUAUAUAAAAAUAAGUUAAUGCCUUUUGUUUUAUAAAUAAUAUUUUUGAAGAUGGACAAACAAUAUCAUAUGUGAUAAAUGUAAUAAAAACAGUUUAAGACCAUUAUCAAAGGCACCAUGUCUCAAUCAGUCAUGCUUUAUACAAAUAAAAAAAAAACCAUUAUAUGUCAACUUACACAAAUAUUUAAAAUAAUCUAUUCUUACUUUCAAAGUAAUUUCUAUAUGUUGACAAUGGUCAGAAAGACUAGCGUAUUAAUAAUUAUCAUAGGAAUUCUGUUAUAUCAGCAUUAAUAUUUUGCGUAAACAAAUUAUUUUUAACUUGACAUAUCAAUGAUGAAUUAAUAUAAAAAAUUUGUGUUCAAUA